rnacentral:rRNA from 1 species
AUUGAACGCUGGCGGCAUGCUUUACACAUGCAAGUCGAACGGUAACAGGCCGCAAGGUGCUGACGAGUGGCGAACGGGUGAGUAAUGCAUCGGAACGUGCCCAGUCGUGGGGGAUAACUACUCGAAAGAGUAGCUAAUACCGCAUACGAUCUAUGGAUGAAAGCGGGGGACCGUAAGGCCUCGCGCGAUUGGAGCGGCCGAUGUCAGAUUAGGUAGUUGGUGGGGUAAAGGCUCACCAAGCCAACGAUCUGUAGCUGGUCUGAGAGGACGACCAGCCACACUGGGACUGAGACACGGCCCAGACUCCUACGGGAGGCAGCAGUGGGGAAUUUUGGACAAUGGGCGCUAGCCUGAUCCAGCAAUGCCGCGUGCAGGAAGAAGGCCUUCGGGUUGUAAACUGCUUUUGUACGGAACGAAACGGCUCUGGUUAAUACCCGGGGCUAAUGACGGUACCGUAAGAAUAAGCACCGGCUAACUACGUG